rnacentral:sRNA from 1 species
UGCACGACUUUUGCUUCAACAUCCAGC